rnacentral:rRNA from 1 species
GAUGAACGCUAGCGACAGGCCUAACACAUGCAAGUCGAGGGGCAGCAUGAAAGUAGCUUGCUACUUUUGAUGGCGACCGGCGCACGGGUGCGUAACAGGUGUGCAAUCUGUCCAUAAUCGGGGAAUAGCCCAGCGAAAGUUGGAUUAAUGCUCCAUGUGAGCCGAGGAGGCAUCUCUUUGGUUUGAAACGUAAGGAUUAUGGGCGAGCACGCUUCUGAUUAGGUAGUUGGUGAGGUAACGGCUCACCAAGCCGACGAUCAGUAGGGGUUCUGGAAGGAAGGUCCCCCACAUUGGAACUGAGACACGGUCCAAACUCCUACGAGAGGCAGCAGUGAGGAAUAUUGGUCAAUGGACGCAAGUCUGAACCAGCCAAGUCGCGUGAAGGAUGAAGGUUCUAUGGAUUGUAAACUUCUUUUGUCUGAGGGUAAAAAAGCGGACGUGUCCGUUCUUGCAAGUAUCAGACGAAUAAGCAUCGGCUAACUCCGUGCCAGCAGCCGCGGUAAUAC